UACGCCCCUGCUGCCAUGUGUGGGUCUCCAGCAUCAUGCAACGCUCAGGGUGGCACAUCUCUACACCGCCCUCAUAACCCUAAAUGCAAGGAGUUGGCACUCCCCUCGCUGCUCCCCCAAGGCAGUGAGCCUUCCUCGGGGCCUUCAGCUUGAGCUUCGCCCCUGCAGCACCCUAGUCUGCCUCCACAAGCAGGUCAGGGUGGCUGCUCAACAGUAAGCCCAUCAGCAUGGGCUGCUGACUCAGCACAGACUCUCACCCCCCUAAGGAUGUGACCCACAGCAUGCCCCCAGCACCGAGGGGGGCGCGGCAGUGCAGCUGGCGCACAGCGGAGGCUGCAGCAAUGGUUUGGCCAUGCGCCGCGCCCGAGUCCGGGUGCAGGUGGCGCGUGUGGGCACGCGCGGCAGGGGCUGCAUAUUU
rnacentral:telomerase_RNA from 1 species